rnacentral:tRNA from 1 species
GGGGCAGUAGCUCAGUGGUAGAGCUCCCGCUUCUUAUGCGGGAAGACCUGAGUACAAUUCCCGGCUGUACGC